rnacentral:hammerhead_ribozyme from 1 species
AUCCAUCUGACGAGUCCCAAAUAGGACGAAAUGCGCUUUGUCCUGGAU